UGGGGGAUCGUCUAGUGGUAGGACGGAGGAAUUUGGAUCCUUUAACCUAGGUUCGAAUCCUAGUCCCCCAACCA
rnacentral:tRNA from 1 species